rnacentral:rRNA from 1 species
UUGUUGGGAAAGUUCCGGCGGUCUGGGGAUGGACUCGCGGCCUAUCAGCUUGUUGGUGAGGUAGUGGCUCACCCAAGGCUUCGACGGGUAGCCGGCCUGAGAGGGGUGACCGGCCACAUUGGGACUGAGAUACGGCCCAAACUCCUACGGGAGGCAGCAGUGGGGAAUAUUGCACAAUGGACGGAAGUCUGAUGCAGCAACGCCGCGUGCGGGAUGACGGCCUUCGGGUUGUAAACCGCUUUCAUCCAUGACGAAGCGAGAGUGACGGUAGUGGGAGAAGAAGCACCGGCUAACUACGUGCCAGCAGCCGCGGUGAUACGUAGGGUGCGAGCGUUGUCCGGAUUUAUUGGGCGUAAAGAGCUUGUAGGCGGUUUGUUGCGUCGGAAGUGAAAACUCAGGGCUUAACUCUGAGCCUGCUUUCGAUACGGGCAGACUUGAGGAAGGUAGGGGGAGAAUGGAAUUCCUGGUGAAGCGGUGGAAUGCGUAGAUAUCAGGAGGA